rnacentral:lncRNA from 1 species
AAAAGGAGUUUCUCCACUAUAUGACCAGUCUAAUCAACGACUUAGUAGAAAAAGAAUAUUCUUUGAAAGCCAUCAAAGAAAAUAUUUAUAAAGUUGGAAGACAGAUAACACAACCUAUCUCUGAACUCAUCUCUCUCUAUAAUCUCUGUGAAAUACCAGAGAUGCCAACAAUGAUUAAGUUCAAAAAACUUGAUUAUUGAA